rnacentral:sRNA from 1 species
UUGCAACUCUUACUUGACAAUGCAAGUGGAAUAUUGAUAAUAGGUUUUUUAGUCAAUUAUCCUAAAACACCAAUCAUGUCGUUGUAGUAUUUUAGGUUGUCAAUCCAAAUGGAUGUGAUGCUAACAAUCAAGAUGUGAUCAGAAGUCACUAAGUCAAGCCAAGCAAUAACAAAUUUUGGUGUGUUCUAGCAGUCCUAAAUGAACAUGCAUAAAACAGAAAAUCAAGCAGAAACAAUAAAACACUCGACCAACACAACUCGUAGCAGAGCACUGGGUGUGGUCGAGUGACAUGUCGAGUAACAGACAGAAAAUGUAACAGGAUACUCGACUACAUAGUCUGUUACCAGACAACUGGGUGGUCGAGUAUCAGGUCGAGUAACAGUAAAGAAUUGCAGAAACUAAGCAACAGAUGACAAGAUGCAGUAAACAGCAGUAGAGUAACCAAUAAAAUCAAUCGGAUAAAGAAUUUUCGAGGAUGGGGUAAUUGAGUAGUUUCGUUUCCUCAGUUUACAGGUGAUUGACAUGCUCAAUAAAUUAUCCCUAGACAACAAGUUCAUUAACCAAAUCUAAGUGCCACCGCAACAGAGACCCUCAAGUUAACCUAGUCCCAGACUCAAUCACCAUUGACGAGAGCUAACAUAACAGGCAUUACGAAUCAACAAGUUAAAGCCAAAACGCUCCCUGCAACCAAUACCUUGGUACAGGGCCACGAAUCUCUGGAAUUAGUGGUUCAGACAUUUCAUCGAACACCUUUUGGGCGCGGAAAUGUCUGGGCUCAAAUUCCAGUUGAUCAUAAAGCAAUAGGCAUUAAGAACAACUAAUCCAGAAGGGAUCUAUCAAUCAAUACUCAACCACCUAGCAUACUGAGAAUUCUACACUACUCUAACCCAUCCUCAGAAACCUAUUCACUACUCAGACAUCAUAGCAGAAAGCAUAAACGUUGAAUGGAAUGAAGACAUGAUAACAACAGUGUAAUAGCAGAAUGAUAACAGGAUGAACAACAGUAAACGAAAUCAAGAACAAAUACUGAAUACUGAAUAGAUAAAGAGAAAUCCGGAUUAUAAAAGGUCUAGAACACAGUGUCUGCGGAAUAAAACUAGAUAAAAACUUGUUCUCGAAAAUGUUAAAACAU